rnacentral:rRNA from 1 species
AGUUAGUGCGUGUCAGCAGCCGGGGGUAUACGUAGGGUUGUGGGUUUACUCGGGAUGUCUGGGCGUAAAGCGGGGGCGGGCGGUUGUUUAAGACAGAGGUGAAAUCCCCGGGCGCAACCUGGGAACUGCUGUUGUGACUGCACAACUAGAGUACGGCAGAGGGAGGUGGAAUUCCGCGUGUAGCAGUGAAAUGCGUAGAGAUGCGGAGGAACACCGAUGGCGAAGGCAGCCUCCUGGGCCAGUACUGACGCUCAUGCACGAAAGCGUGGGGAGCAAACAGGAUUAGAUACUCUUGUAGUC